rnacentral:rRNA from 1 species
CCUACGGGUGGCAGCAGUGGGGAAUAUUGCACAAUGGGGGAAACCCUGAUGCAGCGACGCCGCGUGAGUGAAGAAGUAAUUCGUUAUGUAAAGCUCUAUCAGCAGGGAAGAAAAUGACGGUACCUGAGUAAGAAGCCCCGGCUAACUACGUGCCAGCAGCCGCGGUAAUACGUAGGGGGCAAGCGUUAUCCGGAUUUACUGGGUGUAAAGGGAGCGUAGACGGCAGUGCAAGUCUGGAGUGAAAGGCGGGGGCUCAACCCCCGGACUGCUCUGGAAACUGGACGGCUGGAGUGCAGGAGAGGUAAGUGGAAUUCCUAGUGUAGCGGUGAAAUGCGUAGAGAUUAGGAGGAACACCAGUGGCGAAGGCAGCUUACUAAACUGCCACUGACAUUGAUGCUCGAAAGUGUGGGUAGCAAACAGGAUUAGAUACCCGGGUAGUC